rnacentral:rRNA from 1 species
UACGAAGGGGGCUAGCGUUGCUCGGAAUCACUGGGCGUAAAGGGUGCGUAGGCGGGUCUUUAAGUCAGGGGUGAAAUCCUGGAGCUCAACUCCAGAACUGCCUUUGAUACUGAAGAUCUUGAGUUCGGGAGAGGUGAGUGGAACUGCGAGUGUAGAGGUGAAAUUCGUAGAUAUUCGCAAGAACACCAGUGGCGAAGGCGGCACUCUGGGCCGGUACUGACGCUGAGGAGCGAAAGCGUGGGGAGCAAACAGG